GGGAAUCUGCCCUUGGGUUCGGGAUAACCGUUGGAAACGACGGCUAAUACCGGAUGAUGACGAAAGUCCAAAGAUUUAUCGCCCAGGGAUGAGCCCGCGUCCGAUUAGGUAGUUGGUGGGGUAAAGGCCUACCAAGCCGACGAUCGGUAGCUGGUCUGAGAGGAUGAUCAGCCACACUGGGACUGAGACACGGCCCAGACUCCUACGGGAGGCAGCAGUGGGGAAUAUUGGACAAUGGGCGAAAGCCUGAUCCAGCAAUGCCGCGUGAGUGAUGAAGGCCUUAGGGUUGUAAAGCUCUUUUACCCGGGAUGAUAAUGACAGUACCGGGAGAAUAAGCCCCGGCUAACUCCGUGCCAGCAGCCGCGGUAAUACGGAGGGGGCUAGCGUUGUUCGGAAUUACUGAGCGUAAAGCGCACGUAGGCGGCUUUGUAAGUAAGAGGUGAAAGCCUGGUGCUCAACACCAGAACUGCCUUUUAGACUGCAUCGCUUGAAUCCAGGAGAGGUGAGUGGAAUUCCGAGU
rnacentral:rRNA from 1 species